CUCUACUAUAAACACCACCACCCACUACUCCUCCCCUGUACUGCCCUACACAGUUUGCGAUUAGAGAAUUUGAAAGACUACGUAUCCCCAUGUGCUCCUUGAUCUACCUAGACCUUUGGCAUGGGUUCUGUUCAAUGUCCCUUCACUGGCAGAAACCUAAGAGAUUGAUGUGAGCCACCUUAGGAAAACUAUUGAGACAAAACCUACAGGAUAAUAAGAUAAAAGUCAAUAGAAGCUCUAAGGGCAUCUUCUGCAUAAUAAUUACAAUUACUAAUAUAUCAAACAGCAGAAAAUAUUACUAAAUAUAGCAAUCUGAGAGAAAAUAACCAAAGCAUUAAGCCAGAUCUGAAAAUUUAAAUGGUCUGAGUAAUCACACAAGAAGUUCAACAUGUUUUCAUUUCUUGUAAUAAUUUUUUAUAUUUUUAAAAUAUGUUUGUAUAUUGGUUUUUAAUUUGUUUUUAUUGGAUUGUUUAUAUCUGUUGUGAGCUGCCCAGAGUCACUUAGAUGAGAUGGGUGGCC